UGGGGAAUAUUGCACAAUGGGCGCAAGCCUGAUGCAGCCAUGCCGCGUGUAUGAAGAAGGCCUUCGGGUUGUAAAGUACUUUCAGUCGGGAGGAAGGUGGUAAGGUUAAUAACCUUGGCAAUUGACGUUACCGACAGAAGAAGCACCGGCUAACUCCGUGCCAGCAGCCGCGGUAAUACGGAGGGUGCAAGCGUUAAUCGGAAUUACUGGGCGUAAAGCGCACGCAGGCGGUUGAUUGAGUCAGAUGUGAAAUCCCCGGGCUUAACCCGGGAAUUGCAUCUGAUACUGGUCAGCUAGAGUCUUGUAGAGGGGGGUAGAAUUCCAUGUGUAGCGGUGACAUGCGUAGAGAUGUGGAGGAAUACCGAUGGCGAAGGCGGCCCCCUGGACAAAGACUGACGCUCAGGUGCGAAAGCGUGGGGAGCAAACAGG
rnacentral:rRNA from 1 species